rnacentral:rRNA from 1 species
CAGCCGCCGCGGGAAUACGAAGGGGGCUAGCGUUGCUCGGAAUGACUGGGCGUAAAGGGCGCGUAGGCGGUCACGAUAGUCAGAUGUGAAAUUCCUGGGCUUAACCUGGGGACUGCAUUUGAUACUGUGUGGCUUGAGUGUGGAAGAGGGUCGUGGAAUUCCCAGUGUAGAGGUGAAAUUCGUAGAUAUUGGGAAGAACACCGGUGGCGAAGGCGGCGACCUGGUCCAUAACUGACGCUGAGGCGCGAAAGCGUGGGGAGCGAACAGGAUUAGAUACCCCAGUAGUCCCUGUCUCUUAUAC